rnacentral:lncRNA from 1 species
CCGUUGAAGAAACCGUUUUCGGGUAAUGUUAUAGCACCACCGAAAUUCACUCGCUCUACUCCAUCACUGACUCCAAAAUCUUGGAUUGAAGAUAAUGUGUUCAGGACAGACAACAAUAGUAACACACUCUUACCCUUACAGGUGAGAUCUAGUUUGCAGUUGCCAGCUUGGGGCUCAGAUUCACUCCAAGAUAGUUGGUGCACUGCAGCCGGAACAUCCAGAAUAGACCAGGAUCGAAGUAGGAUGUAUGAUAGCUUGAAUAUGCACUCUCUGGAAAAUUCCCUUAUUGAUAUCAUGAGAGCAGAGCACGAUCCUCUCAAGGGUCGUUUGAGCUAUCCUCAUCCAGGAACCGACAAUCUGUUAAUGUUAAAUGCAAGGAGUUAUGGGCGAAGACGAGGUCGAUCUUCCCUAUUUCCAAUAGAUGAUAGCUUGUUGGAUGAUGGUCACAGUGAUCAAGUUGGUGUGUUAAAUUCACCAACAUGUUAUUCAGCUCAUCAAAAUGGAGAACGAAUAGAACGCUUCUCUCGAAAAGUUUUUGUUGGAGGGCUUCCUCCAGAUAUUGAUGAAGAUGAGAUCACUGCCAGCUUCCGGAGAUUUGGACCUUUGGUAGUAGAUUGGCCCCAUAAAGCAGAAAGCAAGUCCUAUUUCCCACCAA